AAGUCGUAACAAGGUUUCCGUAGGUGAACCUGCGGAAGGAUCAUUAACAAAAAUUAAUAAUUGAUGUUUGUGAAAGCAACUCAAAUUACUUUUAAAACCCCUCUUGUUUAUUUCUCUUGUGUAGUCUCUCUACUAGAGCAGAACAAAGUCACUGACUUUGUAGAGCCCAGGUGCCUACAAUUUUUGGACUUGAUUGCUUUAUUAGUGGGAUUGCACAAUAUUUCAAAUAAUCAUACUGUAGCAAUUAUGUUACAGGUGUUAUAGUUACUAUAUUUAAUUAUAAAAAAAACUUUCAACAACGGAUCUCUUGGUUCUGGCAUCGAUGAAGAACGCAGCAAAAUGCGAUAAGUAAUGUGAAUUGCAGAAUUUAGUGAAUCAUCGAAUCUUUGAACGCACAUUGCGCCUUUUGGUAUUCCAAAGGGCAUGCCUGUUUGAGCGUCAUUACACACUUCAGGCUAUUCUGUGCAUAUUGUCAGAAAAGACUGGUUUUGGCUGUAAAGAUACCCUCUAUUAGAGAAAUCUUUUAGGCUUAAAAAUGACUCCAAGACUGCUGUUUGCGCAUUUUGGUGCCCCCCUAAGAUAAUAUAAUAUAUUACUUGCCACAGGCCAAACAGCUCUUGCUUUGCUAGUAUUAAUUUACUAAAUAUUUGACCUCAGAUCAGGUAGGGAUACCCGCUGAACUUAAGCAUAUCAAUAAGCGGAGGACAAGAAACCAACAGGGAUUGCCUUAGUAACGGCGAGUGAAGCGGCAAUAGCUCAAAUUUGAAAUCUGGCUUCAGGGCCUGAGUUGUAAUUUGUAGAAGAUGCUUUGGUUUAGCAACUAGUCUAAGUUCUUUGGAACAGGAUGUCCUAGAGGGUGAGAAUCCCGUAUGUGACUAGACUUGUUUUUACCAUGUAAAGCUCUUUCAAUGAGUCAAGUUGUUUGGGAAUACAGCUUAAAAUGGGUGGUAAAUUUCAUCUAAAGCUAAAUACUGGCCAGAGACCGAUAGCGCACAAGUAGAGUGAUCGAAAGAUGAAAAGCACUUUGGAAAGAGGGUUAAACAGUACGUGAAAUUGUUGAAAGGGAAGCGCUUGCAAUCAGACUUGUCCAUUUGCAAUCUGCUGGCAUUUUUGCCAGUUUAUUUGCAUUUGAUCAGGCUAACAUUGGCUUAAGUGGUUGGAUAAAGUCCCUAAGAAUUCAGCUCCUCUUGGGGAGUGUUGCUUAGCUUAGGGUGCAAUGCAGCCUACUUGAGCCAAGGACUGCGCAUUUUUAAUGCUAGGAUGUUGGCAUAAUGGUUGUAAGCGACC
rnacentral:rRNA from 1 species